AGCUUGGUGGAAAGAAAAGGUAAAGUUUGAUAAGAAUGGGCCAGCAGCCAUAGCAAAAUAUGAAGCUGAGUGUUUGGCCAUGGUUGAGGCAGAUAAAAAUCGAAAUGGAAACUCCCAAAGUAUUCUUCAAGACCUGCAAGAUGCAACUUUGGGAUCUCUCUUGUCUUCUUUAAUGCAGCAUUGUGAUCCCCCUCAAAGGAAGUAUCCUUUAGAGAAAGGAGUUCCACCACCUUGGUGGCCAACUGGGAACGAAGAAUGGUGGUUAAAGUUAGGACUACCCCAAGGUCAGAGUCCUCCUUAUAAGAAACCUCAUGAUUUAAAGAAGAUGUGGAAAGUUGGGGUAUUAUCAGCUGUAAUAAAGCACAUGUCACCUGAUAUUGCAAAAAUCCGGAGGCAUGUCCGCUCGUCAAAAUGCUUACAGGACAAGAUGACUGCAA
rnacentral:misc_RNA from 1 species